GCGCCCCCGCCAAUGGCAGGAGGGCUCGGGCGGAGCGCCGGCCAAUGAGGGGCGGGGAGGGGGCCGGCGCGGCGCGCGCGGCGGCUGCAGGGGGACGUGAGGCCCGUGAGGUUGAUUCCAGCGAUGUGGUGUCUCACAGAUGCUGCAAGGGGCUGAUAGUAACAGCUAGCUCUGUGCUUUUCUGGAUGUUCUGCUAUCGAUCCAAUUCCUGAGGUCGGUUGAAAAGGACUGCAUAAUCUGACCUCUAGUAUCUACAUCUGCAUCUGCAUACCUGGAGAGAGAGAUCAAUUGGUGGCAGAACAUUCUGACUGACACGUAUCUGAGUGCAGCUAAGAGGAAGACGCCAGCAGUUAAUACAAGCCUCUGGAAAGAAUGACUGAUCAAGAGAUGGUCCAGACAUCCAGGUUAAGCUCUUCAUUUGACCCUGAGCAAAUUAUUCAACUCCUAUCUGUAUAAUAGGCUAAUGGCACUCUCCUGCUCUGUCGUGCUCUUGAAGCCCAAUGCCUAAAGUACUUGGAAAGCCUCAGUGGAAGCACAGCAGAGUAAUUUCAACAUGCUCUGUAGCUGUGCACAGGGAAAAGAGCUUGCCUUCAGGCACAGUGGUGCCAAGAACCAGCAGCACAGGUUCACUCUCCCAUCAACUCCCAGAUGCUUCCAAGAAGAUUUCUAGCCUGGAGGAGCCCAAGGUGGGAGCACAAAGAUGUCCCUUUCCUUCAGCAGUCCCACUAGAUACAGUGUCUAAUGGUGAAGCCUGGACAAUGACUACAUCCUGUGCCAUCCGCUCCACAGACUUCAACAACUGUUGCUUCAGUUUAACUGGUGGCCUGCAUUCAAAGCAUAGGAAACAUGGUUCCUUUCCUGGAAGACUGAUGUUCUCGCUGUUCUUCUCUGCAGCGACAUUCCUAUUUCAUGACAGCGCCAAAAAGCAUGCGCACGCACAAUGGUAACAAAGAAGGUGACCUAACCCUUUACAUGCCAAGUGCCUUUAGAGAAGCCAGCACCCCACUCCUCUUUUGCAAGCCUAACCCAUGCCUCAGAUUAGCAAGACCUGCUGGGACAGAACAGGAGACUGCAAGUGAGAAGAGGAAUGAUGAAGCAGACAGCGGGCCUUGAGCUAUUAUUCUUCACCAGAGUCCCGUCAGCGAGUGCCAUUUACUCAAAGACAGAUGGUCCAUCUAACUUCAUCUGAUUGCCCCAUGGAGGAGACUUCACUGGCAACUGGUGCAAAGAAGGGAUCGUAUGUGGCCUACUCCUGCUCCUUAGUUCGCACCUACAUUUAAAGAUGUGCUCACUGCUGGGACACUGCACAGCCAUUUUUGGGAACCAGAAAGUCACACAGCAGCAAGAUUAUGAAACUGCAAAAGGAGACAGAACAAAUUUUAACUGCACCAUAAAAGAAACAGAAUGAGGCAUUUGGCCUCAUGGGCAGACAAGAGAGAACAUUUCCCCCAGUGAAGGGACCCUGUGCUGGACCCCAGGAUAUGGAGCUCAGUGUUCCUAUAGGUUUCUCUGACCUAUGAGGUAGGAAAGCUACACUCAACACCCUUUAUUUAAGUUAGCUCAUUUCUAGUUCUCAUGCUUUUUGAUUCAUGAUGUUCACAAGUGAAAGUCACUGUCUUUCACUAUCCUUGGGAUCUAAGUGGGGAAAUGGAGGCCCAAGAAGGACACAAUAAUUCAUUUUCUUUUACCUUCCAAAAAUCCUGCCGUUGCCCUUCUGGUUAGUUUCCAUGAGGAUGCUGAUGUAAUCAGCAAGUUCCUAUUGAUUAUUUUCUACCUAGGUGAAAGCUCAACAGCAUGUGGUCAUUAGACCUGGCAGGACCAAGUCCUUUAGCAGUUACAGUAUUAUCAUCGUCUGCUUUUACUGAUAAUUUCCAUGGAUUUUUAAGUCUCCUUCCUUCCUGUUUUUUCCAGCUCAAACACCAGAACAAGAUAGGUCUUCAUCCUCUUACCUAGCAGUUCUCCUUAGCAUAAGGGAGUUAACCUUUUCAACUACACUUGGUAAUCAAUGUGGAGUUCACAAUAUUGACUCUUGUGCCUGACAGAAGCCCUAACACUGAAGCAAACCCACUAACUGUUUAGCUGUAACUGUUUUCCCUGGGGCUGUUUCACCCCCACCAUCUUCAUACAUGGCUCUGCUCUGACGAGUCCGCGUUAUUCAGCUUCAGUAGCUGCUUAAAGCCUGUCUUUAUAGACAGAACACCGGGUGGUUUCUCCUGAAUACCCAGCAGGUUACCUGCAGUGAUUUAGCAGUGUUCAGCUGCUGGUACUUCUGGCAACACUGCUGUGCUAAACAGGGUGUAACAGAGUUUUUAAAAGCUUGCUCACUUACUAUGAGAAUGGCUACAAAGCAGGCCAGCGUAGUAUUCCAGUCUCCACUAGCUGUGGCAGCUGCUUUCCCAACAAGCACACUGUAAAAUAUGAAGUCUCCAAGGCCCAGCUUCACACCCCCUGAGAGAAGUGGAAAAAGAAAACAAGUGUUAAUUCUGCUCCUCCUGUUUUGCUUUCUCCUGAACAAAUUCUUGUCCCCUGCAGGGCAGGUGAAAGUUCCUAGUCCUGGCUACCAACCUGGACCCUUAACAUCCCACACAUUACUGAACAGGCUGAGACUUCCAGUCCCCUCUCCCACACUUGUUUUUGCUCAGCCUCAUUCUCUGAGGUGCUUCCCUCGGCUGCUUUAUAGAUGUACCAGCUGAGGAAGCAUGAGGAUGGAGAGGGAUGGGAAGCAAGGGAAAGAAGGAACUGUUUCAAUUGUCAGCAUAGCCAAGAGAUGUCACUGAAACAAUCCCAGAACAGAUUCUGCAGCAGCAAGAAACAAUACACAGUCAGACUCAAAAUCUUUGUUGCUCAACAAGUCACAACUCUUCAAAUUAACUGUGAUUAGACCAAACUAGGUAACAGAGUGUUAACCACAAUGAGUAAAAGCAUCAGGCUCUGACUCGGACUAUACUGAAAACAAGGUAUAAAGCUUCCCUUACUUUCCUCCUCCUCGAGCUCCUCUAAAGAGGUGAUGGGGCGGGUUGGGACAGGACUCCUCGUCUCCGACAUCUGAGAGUCUCCGUGUGAAGGGCUUCUGUGGUUCUCUCUCCCAUCCUCAGCUUGGUUCCACAAAAAUAGGCCAAGAAGAAUGGACAAAAAAAAAAAAAAAACAAAAAUGAAACACAAGAGGUAACUACAUUUACAACUUGUUUUAAUGCAUGAAAUCCACACUUCUGUGAAGCUUCUCUGGAAUGGGUAAGCCCUUUGUUUCUUGGAGGUGUGAUCAUCAGGACCAGUUCAAGCAGAGACAUUUAGUGGCUUUGAGGAAAACACUGGUGUUAUUCGAAACAGUAAGACGGGUACAUGUUCACUGCUUCUUUGGCAGCUACCUGGGAGUUCAAUGGCUUUAACAAGCGAGUACAUACACAGAACUACACAUUGCUCUGCACAGGCUAGAAUGACAAGUAAAACCAAGUAAAGUUAGUAUGCGUUCCCACAUUGUUAUAUCUUUGGGGUGGAGGUGCUCAGGUAUUCCCUAACUGGUCAUAUGACAAAAAUGGAUGACUAAGAGGACUGCCAUUUAUGAGCAAAGUUCUGCCCUGAAUCACAUUGACAUUGGGGCUGGGUGUUCACAUGUAGCAAGCAAACACAUUUCAUUGUUCACAGAUUUAAUUUCUCCCCCCUACCCCCCCAACCCAUUAAACACAUCUAACAGAGCCCUUGGCAGUGCUUUUGGAAGCAGCCAGUCUGUGAUACAUUACUCUAUCUGACAGUUCCUAUUUUUUGAAGUUCUCAUACAAACUUUCCAGUCCACAUCAGCCUGACAGGAUGCUGCUGCUGCAGAUGCAAGCAGACUGUGAUCUGGGACACAUAGAGCUUCCACAGAGGCAUUCUGUAUGCCUCAGCAUGUAGACUGCGCCUGCUCUGUGCCCAGUUUCAAAGCAGGAUUGCGUCCCUGCAGUUUGUUAUUAUGUCAGCUGCUUUACCCUCAAAUAAGCAGCAUGUUCAGUUAUCAACCCUUAACAUACAUUCAUUGCUUUAACAUAAAAAGGUACUGUCAUCUCUGAAGUGCAACAGGACCAGAUGGGAAAUCCUCCCAACACCCCAAGUCAGAUUUUAUUCAAUCACCUUAAAACUGCAGUUUAACUUGCAUUUCGAGAAGAUAAAAGCAAAGGCACAUAAAUUACCACAGGACCAGCUAGAAUGUAAACUUGGAACUCAUCAGCUACUGUUGGGUAACUGCCCAAACAUUACAUUUACCCUUGGGUAAAGGCUUAAGACAUUCAUUUUCUUCGGCAGGGUAAGCCAUAUUGCACUUACAGCUAGGUAAAAGCAUGUCUGCUCCAUGGCAGUGGCCUGAAUGCAACACAUUGCAACACACCUAAGUUCACCAGUUCAUUGGCAUUAUGUUUAUAUGAGCCUAUGUUUUAAUUUACCAUCCCCAGCUAGUAAAAAUAUAAACCCCCGCUAGCCCACUUUCAGCUUUGACUUCAGUACAUCUGAAGAUGUGUGUUGAAAACCACUUCUGUUUGGUUUUUUGUUUGGUUGGUUUUUUUAAAUAAAAGCAGCCUGAAUACUGGACCUUCCUACAUCAUCUGGUCAUCUUUGCUGCCAGCCCUAACAGCAGGUUUCAGAACAUCACCAAGUUCUGCAAAUAACGUAACAACACUGAAAAAAAAAAAAAAUGCAACUGUCAGGAUUCAGGGGCUUACAUUUACUUGCAGUCUCAAACA